rnacentral:tRNA from 1 species
GCGCGAGUGGUUUAGACUGGCUAUAACGACACGCUCACAUCUCGACGGUCGGGGGUUCAAAUCCCCCCUUGCGCA